rnacentral:rRNA from 1 species
AUGAACGCUGGCGGCGUGCCUAAGACAUGCAAGUCGAACGAGAAAGUCCGCAAGGAUGAGUAGAGUGGCGCACGGGUGAGUAAUACUUGGGUAACGUACCCUUUUGCUGGGGAUAACCAGGCGAAAGCUUGGCUAAUACCGAAUAUUUCGUUUGAGGCUUUGGCCUUGGACGAGAAAGCCGUAAGGCGCGAAAGGAUCGGCCCGAGCCCUAUUAGCUAGUUGGUAGGGUAAUGGCCUACCAAGGCAGUGAUGGGUAGCUGGUCUGAGAGGAUGAUCAGCCACACUGGUACUGGAAUACGGACCAGACUCCUACGGGAGGCAGCAGUUAGGAAUUUUGCGCAAUGGGCGAAAGCCUGACGCAGCAACGCCGCGUGGGUGACGAAGGCCUUCGGGUCGUAAAGCCCUUUUAGUUGGGAAGAAAAAAAUGACGGUACCAACAGAAAAAGCACCGGCUAACUCCGU